UACGAAGGGGCUAGCGUUGUUCGGAAUUACUGGGCGUAAAGCGCACGUAGGCGGAUUUGUAAGUCAGGGGUGAAAUCCCGGGGCUCAACCUCGGAACUGCCUUUGAUACUGGAGAGCUUGAGUCCGGAAGAGGUGAGUGGAACUCCGAGUGUAGAGGUGAAAUUCGAUAGAUAUUCGGAAGAACACCGAUGGCGAAGGCAGCCCUCUGGGCUAACACUGACGCUGAGGCACGAAAGCGUGGGGAG
rnacentral:rRNA from 1 species